rnacentral:misc_RNA from 1 species
CUGAGUUGCAAAACUCCAACCCUUUGUCAUUAUUAUGCUCUUCAGUUGCUUCGGCGGGCGGCCCCAGGGCGGGCUCGCGUCCGCCUGCCGAAGACCCUUUACAAACUCUUUACUGUUUUUGUGUCCUUCUGAAGCCUAAAAAAAUAAGUUA